rnacentral:rRNA from 1 species
GACGAACGCUGGCGGCGUGCCUAAUACAUGCAAGUAGAACGCUGAAGAGAGGAGCUUGCUCUUCUUGGAUGAGUUGCGAACGGGUGAGUAACGCGUAGGUAACCUGCCUUGUAGCGGGGGAUAACUAUUGGAAACGAUAGCUAAUACCGCAUAACAAUGGACGACACAUGUCAUUUAUUUGAAAGGGGCAAUUGCUCCACUACAAGAUGGACCUGCGUUGUAUUAGCUAGUAGGUGAGGUAAUGGCUCACCUAGGCGACGAUACAUAGCCGACCUGAGAGGGUGAUCGGCCACACUGGGACUGAGACACGGCCCAGACUCCUACGGGAGGCAGCAGUAGGGAAUCUUCGGCAAUAGGGGCAACCCUGACCGAGCAACGCCGCGUGAGUGAAGAAGGUUUUCGGAUCGUAAAGCUCUGUUGUAAGUCAAGAACGGGUGUGAGAGUGGAAAGUUCACACUGUGACGGUAGCUUACCAGAAAGGGACGGCUAACUACGUG